GCCGAUGUGGUGGAAUUGGUAGACACGCUAUCUUGAGGGGGUAGUGGCGAGAGCCGUGCCGGUUCGACUCCGGCCAUCGGCACCA
rnacentral:tRNA from 1 species